UACGUAGGGUGCAAGCGUUAAUCGGAAUUACUGGGCGUAAAGCGUGCGCAGGCGGUUUUGUAAGUCUGUCGUGAAAUCCCCGGGCUCAACCUGGGAAUUGCGAUGGAGACUGCAAGGCUAGAAUCUGGCAGAGGGGGGUAGAAUUCCACGUGUAGCAGUGAAAUGCGUAGAGAUGUGGAGGAACACCGAUGGCGAAGGGCAGCCCCCUGGGUCAAGAUUGACGCUCAUGCAC
rnacentral:rRNA from 1 species